rnacentral:rRNA from 1 species
CCCGUCUUGAAACACGGACCAAGGAGUCUAGCAUGCGCGCGAGUCAUUGGGAAUUUAUAAACCCAGAGGCGCAAUUAAAGUGAACAGCGUCACCUAGUGACCGCAGGGAAGAUGGCGGCCGGUACGCCCGUCCGCCCGCAUUCCCGAGGCGUUUCGAGAAAUGCCCCCGUGCGAUUAUCGAGACGCACUGAGAGCGCGCACGCUGGGACCCGAAAGAUGGUGAACUAUGCCUGGUCAGGUCGAAGUCAGGGGAAACCCUGAUGGAGGACCGUAGCGAUUCUGACGUGCAAAUCGAUCGUCUGAACUGGGUAUAGGGGCGAAAGACUAAUCGAACUAUCUA